rnacentral:rRNA from 1 species
ACCCCUACGGGAGGCAGCAGUCGAGAAUCUUCGGCAAUGGGCGAAAGCCUGACCGAGCGACGCUGUGUGCGGGAUGAAGGCCCUUGGGUUGUAAACCGCUGUCAGAGGGGGUGAAAGCGCAAGCUUGACAGAGCCUCAGAGGAAGCGCGGGCUAAGUUCGUGCCAGCAGCCGCGGUAA